ACCGGAUGCCUACAAACAGUCGGAGCCCGCAAGGGUGACGGCGUACCUUUUGUAUAAUGGGUCAACGACUUAGUGUAACAAGCAAGCUUAAGCCGGUAGGUGUAGGCGAAGCGAAAGCGAGUCUGAAUAGGGCGAUUUAGUUUGUUGCAUUAGACCCGAAACCGAGUGAUCUAGCCAUGAGCAGGUUGAAGGUUGGGUAACACCAACUGGAGGACCGAACCCGCAUCUGUUGCAAUAGAUUGGGAUGACUUGUGG
rnacentral:rRNA from 1 species